rnacentral:rRNA from 1 species
UACAGAGGGUGCAAGCGUUAAUCGGAAUUACUGGGCGUAAAGCGUGCGUAGACGGUUGUUUAAGUCGGAUGUGAAAUCCCCGGGCUCAACCUGGGAAUUGCAUUCGAGACUGAACAGCUAGGGUGCGGAAGAGGGAAGCGGAAUUUCCGGUGUAGCGGUGAAAUGCGUAGAUAUCGGAAGGAACAUCAGUGGCGAAGACGGCUUCCUGGUCCAGCACCGACGUUCAGGCACGAAAGCGUGGGGAGCAAACAGG